GACGAACGCUGGCGGCGUGCUUAACACAUGCAAGUCGUACGAAGAGCGAUGGAAGCUUGCUUCUAUCAAUCUUAGUGGCGAACGGGUGAGUAACGCGUAAUCAACCUGCCCUUCAGAGGGGGACAACAGUUGGAAACGACUGCUAAUACCGCAUACGAUCUAACCUCGGCAUCGAGGAUAGAUGAAAGGUGGCCUCUACAUGUAAGCUAUCACUGAAGGAGGGGAUUGCGUCUGAUUAGCUAGUUGGAGGGGUAACGGCCCACCAAGGCGAUGAUCAGUAGCCGGUCUGAGAGGAUGAACGGCCACAUUGGGACUGAGACGCGGCCCAGACUCCUACGGGAGGCAGCAGUGGGGAAUCUUCCGCAAUGGACGAAAGUCUGACGGAGCAACGCCGCGUGAGUGAUGACGGCCUUCGGGUUGUAAAGCUCUGUUAAUCGGGACGAAAGGCCUUCUUGCGAAUAGUUAGAAGGAUUGACGGUACCGGAAUAGAAAGCCACGGCUAACUACGUG
rnacentral:rRNA from 1 species